rnacentral:rRNA from 1 species
GCACGCGCGCUACACUGAUGUACUCACUGAGUGCCCCAUCUUGCCUGUAGUUGGGCAGUCUUGCAAACCUACGUCGUGAUGGGGAUGGAUCAUUGCAACUAUUGCUCCUGAACGAGGAAUUCCUAGUAAAUGUAUGUCAUCAACUUGCAUUGAUUGUGUCCCUGCCUUUUGUACACACCGCCCGUCGCUCCUGCCGAUUGAGUGGUCCGGUGAACAGUUUGGGCCUGCUGUGCCCUUCAGCUCCUGAGAAGUGCAGUGAGAAGUUCAGUGAACCUUAUCACUUAGAGGAAGGAG